AACGAACGCUGGCGGCAUGCCUAACACAUGCAAGUCGAACGAGACCUUCGGGUAUAGUGGCGCACGGGUGCGUAACGCGUGGGAACCUGCCCUUAGGUUCGGAAUAACUCCCCGAAAGGGGUGCUAAUACCGGAUAAUGUCUUCGGACCAAAGAUUUAUCGCCUUUGGAUGGGCCCGCGUUGGAUUAGCUAGUUGGUAGGGUAAAAGCCUACCAAGGCGACGAUUCAUAGCUGGUAUGAGAGGAUGAUCAGCCACACUGGGACUGAGACACGGCCCAGACUCCUACGGGAGGCAGCAGUGGGGAAUAUUGGACAAUGGGCGAAAGCCUGAUCCAGCAAUGCCGCGUGAGUGAUGAAGGCCUUAGGGUUGUAAAGCUCUUUUACCCGGGAUGAUAAUGACAGUACCGGGAGAAUAAGCUCCGGCUAACUCCGUG
rnacentral:rRNA from 1 species